UAGCAACACCGGCCAUUUUUAAUAAUACUCGGUGACUCAUGCGCAUCAUAACAAAGCGAGCGGACUCGUACACUGCGUUUAGUCGACGUGACAUAACAGGAAAAAGUUUGCAUUGUAUUUUAGUAUCAAAAACAAGAAUGAGUGAUACAGACUCCUUGCAGUAUUUACCAAUGGAGAGAUGGGGGGAGCUUGAAGAGGCUUUCAAGGCCGACUGGCCAAGGGGUAUAUCUGGUUACACCGCAUUGAGGACCCAACGGGACCUAGCCAGCCGCGGACUGGGCUACGGAUUCAAAGUUUAUUGCCCCUUCGGCGAUGUGUCCAGCGGUAUGGUGGCCUUGAACAAGAAAGGCACACUCAAUGAAGUUAUAAUACAAUGUCCAAGUGAUGACACUGCGCAGCUCGAAACAGCCGUAUUAUGCUCGAAGAUCAUUGAUUGGAACAACAAAAUAAUGGUUCCGUUCAUGCCAAAACACAUUCUAGAAAGUGUUCGUAGGAUAGCAGAAAACCUUAAUUUAGAUAUAGAAGCGGAAGAUACGGAACCGAAUGAGCUGUUUCUGUUACCUAAACAUACACCAAUAUAUCCCAGCCCUUCAAAUCCUGACUUGAGUAUCAAGUCACUUUUGGAAGAUCAUCUCUCCACCGUCGACUACACUUGGCGGAACCGCUACGAGGGUUCUCUCUGGCUAUUCGGAAUUCUAAUCAAAGCUGGUUACGGCUAUGGACUUUUCAAAAACAAUGAACUAGUCUCAUGGGUCCUCCUCAAUGAAGUGGGAGCUCUCACUCAUCUCUUUACUUUAGCAGAACACAGGAAUAAUAAGUACGCAGAGAUUGUGCUCAAAUAUUUGUGCAACAUUUGCUUGGAAAACGGCAAAGAUGUCUUCGCUUAUUGCAGGAAAGGAAAUAAAAGUGCCUGCAAAGUCUACGAGAAAUUAGGUUUCGAGAAAUUCCACGAAGUGCGAUGGUGCUUUAUAAAACCACAAAAUUAGGAAAAAUCGUGUUGCUUAUUUUAAUAAUAUAAAUGUAAGGUUACCAUAAUAAAUAUUUAAAGGAUACACUAAACGAGAUUAUAAUUCAUAGUCCGCGGCUCGAUACGACCCAGCUUGAAAAGGCCCUAGUAUCGACAAAAGUAAUAGAUUGGUCCACACCCAUACUAGUUCCCUGCUUGCCCCCGCAUACCCACGAAUGUGUGAAGAAAGUGGCCCAAAAGCUAAACUUGAAUUUCGAGGGAGAUGAUGAACACACUCCUCAUGAUCUGGUGCUUUAUGAUGUACACAAGCCCGCAUUCGAUGUUCGCUUACCUGAUGACGUGACCUUUCAACUUCUAACAGAAGACCUAGUAGAUGCUAUAGACGCCGUGUGGCCGAACCGCUAUGACAGUUCCAAGUGGGUUUUCAAACUGCUAAUAAAAAACAAAACCGGCUACGGUCUUUUCAAGAACAAGGAAUUGCUUGCCUGGGUUUUUAUCAACGAAAUAGGUGCUUUGGUACAUCUGUACACUCACGACGAUCACAGAAAUAAAGGAUACGGGAAAACAGUAAUGAAACUGCUUUGCAAUAAAUCCUUAGAAGAAAAGAAACCGGUUUUCGGGUAUUGUAUGAGGGAAAAUGUUAGUGCCGAAAAACUGUACGAAAGUCUAGGUUUUGAGAAAUUUUAUCAUGUAAACUGGACCAUGUUAACGCCAAAAUAAACUUUAAAAUAAGCAA